rnacentral:rRNA from 1 species
AGAGUUUGAUCAUGGCUCAGGACGAACGCUGGCGGCGUGCUAAUACAUGCAAGUCGAGCGGACCGAAGGGAGCUUGCUCCUUUAGGUUAGCGGCGGACGGGUGAGUAACACGUGGGCAACUGCCCUGCAGACUGGGAUAACUUCGGGAAACCGGAGCUAAUACCGGAUAACACCGAAAACCGCAUGGUUUUCGGUUGAAAGGCGGCAUUAGCUGUCACUGCAGGAUGGGCCCGCGGCGCAUUAGCUAGUUGGUGAGGUAACGGCUCACCAAGGCGACGAUGCGUAGCCGACCUGAGAGGGUGACCGGCCACACUGGGACUGAGACACGGCCCAGACUCCUACGGGAGGCAGCAGUAGGGAAUCUUCCGCAAUGGACGAAAGUCUGACGGAGCAACGCCGCGUGAGCGAAGAAGGUCUUCGGAUCGUAAAGCUCUGUUGUCAGGGAAGAACAAGUGCCGUUCGAACAGGGCGGUACCUUGACGGUACCUGACGAGGAAGCCACGGCUAACUACGUGCCAGCAGCCGCGGUAAUACGUAGGUGGCAAGCGUUGUCCGGAAUUAUUGGGCGUAAAGCGCGCGCAGGCGGUUCCUUAAGUCUGAUGUGAAAUCUCGCGGCUCAACCGCGAGCGGCCAUUGGAAACUGGGGAACUUGAGUGCAGGAGAGGGGAGCGGAAUUCCACGUGUAGCGGUGAAAUGCGUAGAGAUGUGGAGGAACACCAGUGGCGAAGGCGGCUCUCUGGCCUGUAACUGACGCUGAGGCGCGAAAGCGUGGGGAGCGAACAGGAUUAGAUACCCUGGUAGUCCACGCCGUAAACGAUGAGUGCUAAGUGUUAGAGGGUAUCCACCCUUUAGUGCUGCAGCAAACGCAUUAAGCACUCCGCCUGGGGAGUACGGCCGCAAGGCUGAAACUCAAAUGAAUUGACAAUCGUCGACCUGCAGGCAUGCAAGCUUGCACUGCCGCCUAACCCC